rfam:Myotis davidii contig322326, whole genome shotgun sequence.
GGCAGUUCUAGGGUGACACACCCAGGAAUUGGGCUCUCUCCUCUCUGGUUCAGGUGCGUCACCCAAGAACUGCA